AUUUUUGCUGCAUUUCGCCAUUUGGUGCUAACGCUAAGCGUCAUCAGUCAUCACAGACGCAAAUGGAACUCCCGGUUGUGGUCCUUCUUCCUCAAUCAUCUAGAAGCAAACCCCAGAGAGGUCCGUUCAUCAUAUUUAAAUACUCCGAGGAAGUAUCGAGCUCUGAUCUUCACUGCGUGUUGUGAUUACUGGAAUCAGAAGAAGAAGAAGAAGAAGAAGAAGAAGAAGAAGCAAGAGAUGUCAGGUCCAGAGUGUUGCUCAAACCCUCCAACGUUCAACCCCAGUGCUGGAGCUGGUCGAGUUGAAAAAGUCGGUGGCGUCGAUACUUACGUCUCUGGCUCCGCCGACUUCAAGCUUGCCAUUCUCCUGAUCUCUGAUGUCUUUGGUUAUGAAGCGCCAAAUUUGAGGAAGCUUGCAGACAAAGUUGCUGCAGCAGGGUAUUUUGUAGUAGUUCCUGAUUUCAUCCAUGGCGAUCCCUUUGAUGCUAAGAAAGCUGACCGGCCACUAUCUGUUUGGGUAAAAGAUCAUUCACCGGACAAGGGUGUUGAAGUUGCUAAACCUGUGAUUGAAGCCUUAAAAGGUAAAGGUAUUUCAGCAAUUGGGGCUGCUGGUUUUUGCUGGGGUGCCAAGGUUGUGGUUGAAGUUGCAAAACAUGGACUUAUUAAUGCUGCUGUGCUAUUACACCCAUCAUUAGUCACUGUGGAUGACAUCAAGAGUAUUGAAAUUCCAAUUGCUAUACUUGGAGCUGGGACUGACCGUAUUUCUCCUCCAGAACUUGUUAAACAGUUCGAACAAAUCCUAUCUGCUAAACCUGGGGUUCACAGUUUCGUGAAAAUAUUUCCUCAAGUUGUACACGGCUGGGCUGUUAGGUACAACACUGAAGAUGCUAAAGCCGUGUCAGCAGCUGAAGAGGCGCAUCAAGACUUGUUGAGUUGGUUUGCCAAGCAUGUCAAUUGAAGUAGACAGAGUCUAUAUUUACUUGUGAAAUCUCUUGACAUGAAGCAAUGGGGAUGGUGAAUGAUGGCAUGAAUGAUUGCUCCGAAUUGCUGGACGAGCUGAUGGUGUUUGCCUGCAUUUCUGAUGGGGAGUUUUCAAACCCAGAGAAAGCACUUUGGUUGAAUUGAUCUGAAGGUGAUCAGUGAAAUGUUUUGACUCAGUGUUGCUUGGUUUUACACCACCUGUUGUGCACAAGUUUCUUAAUAAGUCAUUUAAUCAUUGCGGUGAAGGAAUGAUGUUUGUUUUAUUUCCUGAAAUUGGCAUUUUCUUUUUUAAUGUGGAAGUUUCAGUCAUAGUAGGGAAAUUUGGGUCAAUCUGCCUCUGCAUGGUUGAAUUGGUAAAUUGUUAAAUCAAUAUUUUGACCGAUUUAAUAAAAUGCUCUGUUUAUAACUGAUUUGAUUA